rnacentral:rRNA from 1 species
AUACGGAGGGAGCAAGCGUUAUUCGGAAUCACUGGGCGUAAAGGUCGCGUAGGCGGGUUUGUAAGUCAGGUGUGAAAUCCUACAGCUCAACUGUAGAACUGCACUUGAAACUACAGACCUAGAGUAUGGAAGGGGCAGAUGGAAUUAGUGGUGUAGGGGUAAAAUCCGUAGAUAUCACUAGGAAUACCGAAAGCGAAGGCGAUCUGCUGGGACAUUACUGACGCUGAGGCGUGAAAGCGUGGGGAGCAAACAGGAUUAGAAACCCUAGUAGUCC